ACGGGGAAUUGGGGUUCGAUUCCGGAGAGGGAGCCUGAGAAAUGGCUACCACAUCUAAGGAAGGCAGCAGGCGCGUAAAUUACCCAAUCCUAAUUCAGGGAGGUAGUGACAAGAAAUAACAACUCGGACCUCACACGAGGUUACGGGAUUGCAAUGAGAACAAUUUAAACCACUUAUCGAGCAACAAUUGGAGGGCAAGUCUGGUGCCAGCAGCCGCGGUAAUUCCAGCUCCAAUAGCGUAUAUUAAAGUUGUUGCAGUUAAAAAGCUCGUAGUUGAAUUUCUGGCCAGCGCUGUUCUCGGCUCUCUGAGUCGGUUCAGUGUUUGGUCAUCCGUAUGGGAAGCUAGCUCGGCCUUCACUGGUCGGCUAGUGGAUCAUACACUUUACUUUGAAAAAAUUAGUGUGUUUCAGGCAGGCAAUUGCUUGGAUACUUCAGCAUGGAAUAAUGGAAUAGGACUUUGACCUAUUUGUUGGUUUCUUCGACGUCAAGGUAAUGAUUAAUAGGGACAGUUGGGGGCAUUCAUAUUUAAUUGUCAGAGGUGAAAUUCUUGGAUUUAUUAAAGAUGAACCUAUGCGAAAGCAUUUGCCAAGGAUGUUUU
rnacentral:rRNA from 1 species